rnacentral:misc_RNA from 1 species
GAUGAAGAACGCAGUGAAAUGCGAUAAGUAAUGUGAAUUGCAGAAUUCAGUGAAUCAUCGAAUCUUUGAACGCACCUUGCGCUCCUUGGUAUUCCGAGGAGCAUGCCUGUUUGAGUGUCAUUAAAUUCUCAACCCACCCAGCUUUGUAAAUGAGUUGGUGUGUGGCUUGGAUAGUGGGGGUUUGUGCAGGCCUUGAAUAAAGGUCAGCUCCCCUGAAAUGUAUUAGCGGAACGGUUUGCGAUCUGUCACUGGUGUGAUAAUUAUCUAUGCCAACGAUGAACGCUCUCUAUAUGUUCAGCUCAUAACAGUCCCAUCUUGUGGACAACUUAUUUGACUAUUUGACCUCAAAUCAGGUAGGACUACCCGCUGAACUUAAGCAUAUCAAUAAGCGGAGGA